UACGUAGGGUGCGAGCGUUGUCCGGAAUUAUUGGGCGUAAAGGGCCCGUAGGCGGUUUGUCGCGUCGGGAGUGAAAACCAGGUGCUUAACACCUGGCUUGCUUUCGAUACGGGCAGACUAGAGGUAUUCAGGGGAGAACGGAAUUCCUGGUGUAGCGGUGAAAUGCGCAGAUAUCAGGAGGAACACCGGUGGCGAAGGCGGUUCUCUGGGAAUGACCUGACGCUGAGGAGCGAAAGUGUGGGGAGCGAACAGG
rnacentral:rRNA from 1 species